rnacentral:lncRNA from 1 species
CAGCACACACCAGAGCCUGACUGAAAUGUUUUGGCACUGAGCGCUGCAGGCUUGGCUCGUUCUUCUGGUGUCUCCAGCGAAGGUCCUCGUGAGCCGCUCCGGCAGAGACAGGGACUGCUCAGCUGCUGUGCCGUGGCGGAUCCUGCAACCGGCGGUGCAGCCGUGGCCUCUAGCCUGGGCACGCUUCUGCCGUGAGCCAGGCCAUGGACUUUGGACAAGGGAAAAACUAAAGAGUGUUUCAGUGACAUGGAGAGAAGAAGGAGAAAAAGGUCCUGCGCGUGGGCUCAGACAGCCUGGAAGCGCCGGCAGCAGUCAGCAGGAGGAGAGUGUCGCCGGGAUGUGCCGCUGCAAGGCCGAGAUAACCCAGCUCCUCGUCUUGCCCUUGGCUGCUAGGGUCUGCGUGCAGGCGGAGCUCUCCUGGCGCGGGGCGCUGCACAACGCCAUGCGCAGCCGUACCCCGAUGGCCGAGCGGAGAAAUCUGCGCUGCCGUGCUGUACGCUCGGUACGAGACACGUUUCUGGAUCAGUAAUCUAUCAUAAUUUUGUUGGACAGAAGGGAGUAGCACCAGGUUUCUUUCUUCUGGAGGAGAGAGAUUUUGAUUAAUUUUUCCCCUUCUCUUCAGGGUUAGCACUUUGCAUUAUAUAUGUUUCAAGGCAGGGAAAUUGCUUGCUUGACAGCUGUGGAUAAAACAUGAAACUUUAGAUAAUGUUUUAAAUUCACCAGGGACAAACCAGCUUCAAUGUAAUUGAUAAAUUAAACCGAAUUCAAAUAUCA